GGCCUUGUCCUUUCCUGGAGAAGGAGAGCCUAAAUGGGUGGAGCGAACUUAGAACUCUUGGAACUUAGAGGAACUUUCAAAUGUGGCUGCUGCACGUCUGGACCUAGAAAAGGGUGUGGAGCAGUUUAUCAGAGCAGAGGAGAACAUUGAUGCCACAUACAGACCCACAGGCCGAGACUGGGCAGCUAUCUUCAGCAACAAGUUGGCUUUGAAAUGGACUGAGGUAUGUGGAACUGGUGAAGAUGCUUUUAACUCAUGCAAGCACUGUAAGAAUGAAUGCAGGUGCAGAGGUAACUGACACUCCUGGGAAGCAGACUGCUUGGAACAGGAUGACUGCCAGAAUGAGGCUGGUAUACCCCACACGUCUUGACUGGGGUGCAAUCACAAAGCAGCUGAAGGGAGUCAAGAAGACCACCAGAAUAUGCCAUCUCCAAGAAACUGCCAAGGUCCAUCAUAUCAGUGGAAAACUGCUGCUGCUGAGUCUGUGAUGAAAGAGGACAUUGGGCCAAGGAUUGCCAAAGAGAGAGGAAACAACAUCUCAAACAUGAACCAUCUUCUCCCUCCCUUUGGUUUCCAUCAUCAAAUGUGAGAGACCAUGAAGAGGACAAGGUGAAAGAUGGUUUGCCAGUUCCAGGUGACGAACCACAAAAUUCCUACGUGCCAGGAGUCCAGGACAGUGGAUCUGGGUCAGAGACUUUCGGAGGAAGGCGUGGCACUGUCCGAGGUAGAUGGGGCCAUGAGAUAAUCCUGACAAUCAACACUGCCAUCAAGGUUGACAAGGAUGAUACCUGGAUUCACGUGUCGGACUGCAAACCUCACUAACCUGACAACACGUAAACAGAGCUGAGGAACUACACCUGCUGAAAAGAUCUCGCAACAUCUCUGAAAUGAAAAUGUUGAGACAUCGGCCAGCCAGACAAGCAUGGAGUCUGGGAUCAACUUUGGGCCAGCAAAUGGUUCUGAUUUUGUGCAAUAACAAUUCCAGUAAUAAUGUUAUCUCAAUUUUUAGGAUCAAUUACAAAGUUUGUUUUAUGCUUUUUACUUAUUCUGCUUAUCAUAGCACUUGCAAUUUUAUGUACUGCUAAAUGUAUUCGUGCAUUAAUGAAAAAAGUACUUGGAGAACAGAGAGAGCUGAAGAUCAGAGGAUUUUAGAAAGAAACUGUAUGGGAAGAUAAAGGUAAAAAGCAGGUCAUUUUAUGAGAUAAUGGAACCGGAUUUGAGAAUGUGAUCGUGUAAAAACGAUCAGAGGGGGGAAUGUGAUGGAAAUAUUUUAUGUCAACAUGAAAUGUACAGAAAAUGCAGACUAAGGAUGCUCAGGUCAAAGACCAGUCACAUAAUUAGCUUAGAUCAUUACAAACCAAUCACCAGAACAAAUCACAGUGAUGAAGACAUUGAUUUUUACUCAACUGUAAGACUUAAAUGUGCAUGUAUCUUUCUAUUCAUUGAGACUCACUUGGUUGUUGUGACCAGUGAUCUCCCGGCCGUAAAUAAAACUUCAUUUCUACAAAGAGCAACUUGGAAGUCGUGUCAGGUAUAUGCUGCGCAGCUAAA